rnacentral:lncRNA from 1 species
CUCGACGUAGAAAGCUUUGAUGAAAUAUCUAAUAUAGAAAACCCUAGCAAAGUGCUCGACUCGACGUACAAAACUAUGAUGAUGUACUCAGCAUUGUUUAAUGGAAGGAGGAUCCAGUCGGUCAUCCUUGACAUUAUUGAUGAGUAGGAGUAUGAGUUUGGUGCUGAGAAGAUCUUCAAUGAAUGGAAGAGAGGGAGAGUCUGGCUUGUUGUCCUUGGAAGUAGCAAUAAGAAGAAGUAUGAGUUCAGCACCAAGGAGAUCUCUGACAAAAGAA